GAUGAACGCUAGCGGCAGGCUUAAUACAUGCAAGUCGUGGGGCAGCAGGGGUAGCAAUACCCGCUGGCGACCGGCAAACGGGUGCGGAACACGUACGCAACCUUCCUUUAACUGGAGAAUAGCCCCCUCGAAAGAGGGAUUAAUACUCCGUAACAUGUACAUGUGGCAUCACAAGUACAUUAUAGCUCCGGCGGUUAAAGAUGGGCUGCGCCUGAUUAGAUAGUUGGCGGGGUAACGGCCCACCAAGUCUGCGAUCAGUAACUGGUGUGAGAGCACGACCAGUCACACGGGCACUGAGACACGGGCCCAGUCCUACGGGAGGCAGCAGUAAGGAAUAUUGGUCAAUGGACGCAAAGUCUGAACCAGCCAUGCCGCGUGGAGGAUUAAGGCCCUCUGGGUUGUAAACUCCUUUUAUCU
rnacentral:rRNA from 1 species